GUCUCUGUCCAAGAUUGGAAGACUUUUGUGGAAUCGGGAAUGCGUACUUUAACUAGAAUUUCGGGUCUUUCUGAGGCUAGGAUCCACAGCCCCACUAUUUAACAACUUGACUGAGAGCCCCCAUUUAAUGCCCUCGGCCACCACAUAUAAAUGCACAAGCCGGUUCGCUGCCGUGCUGGUCCCAAGAAUGGAAAAUGUAGAAAUACAAGAAACCAAAUGCCAGGGCUCCUAAAUCUAUUUUUCAAAUGAGCUUUUAAUAUAGCAAUAAUAGAUAUAGAGAUUAAAAAUGACUAUAGUGAUGUGUAAAUUGUAAAAUUGCACUGGAGAAAUACCGCAGAACGACAAUACCUAAAACAAAUUUAUGCCCUUCCUAAUACAACCGGUCUCAAUUUCAGCCUAAUGAAAUCUUCCUAGUCCUAAGUUUUGAAUUUACAGUAAAUCUCUUUCCAAUAUCACCUUCUUGGGGUGUGCUUGUGCUUGCUAUAAUCACUGUGGGUGCUUUAAAACCCCCUCCAGUUUUUAGAGUAGCUACCCCAACUCUAACCUUAGCUUUGAGGCAAUACUGGUUUUUCUUGCAUUGUUCUCUGAUUCAUAUGCAGACAGAGUCAAGACCACAAACCCAUAAGAUCUCAUCCAUUACAGUUCCUAGGAUUUAAAUUCUUAUUCUGAACUUGGGUUUUGCUGCAACAGGUUACAAACAAAUCCAACAUCACUUGCAAACUUUUGUGAGAAAUUAUAAUGGUUUCCAUCACUUAAAAUUUUUUAAAAAUGCUAUCCAUUCCCUGAAAAGAUUUGAACCGGAUGUCUUUUCAGAAACUGUCUCUGAAUUGACUACUUGCUCCCUCCCCCUUAAUCUUGUAAAUAUAAUAAAAACAUAAACAAAUUACAGCAGUGAAGUCCUUAAGAUUUAGAGUGGAUUCCUCACCGUUUGGUAAGAGCAAGGUGCUCUGGGCUGCACACAAGCAAUUCCUGAAACAGUUAUUAGGAGACUCAGAGGGAGAGGCAAAGAGCCCUGAGGGUCUGUUCUGAGUCAACGAGGGAGGGGGAUUCAGGAUCAGAGACCAGCCACACCCUAGGGGCCAGGAGAGUGAGGAGCUGAGCUGGUCACUGCUGUUAGUAGAGCUAAAGCAAAGCCAGGUAGAAUAAGAACGGGACCAAGUAGCCAGAAAAGUCAUAAGUGGUCCUGCUAUGGACAAGAAGCCUUUGGCAUAUGGUCCACCUGUCUUUAGGAAGUGGCUGCAAAGCCCUCAAUGGGGCAGAGGGCCUAGGAUGCUGAUGCAGUGAUACAGGCUCAGAGCACGUGGGUGUCAGACCCAUCUCUUCGGGGCCAACUUUGGCUGGGUGUUCACUGGGCCGUCCUGGGCAACUCAAGGCCAGCUGGAUAGAAUCAUAGCCCCAAUGCUUCCCUCAUCCUCUGCUUUGGCUCCCAGAACUCUCGACUCAGGAAGGGAGGAUGCUCUUGGGUUCUGGGGGUGGGUGCAGGGCAGGGGUGGGGGGAGCAUUCCUGAGUCACCUGCAGGAUGCUGCCCUUUAGGAAGUUAAUUAGGACUCCGGUCGUCUGUGAUAAUGACUGUCAUCAUAACGUCUGUGGAGAUGACUUACUGCGCUGCCAGGAACACGUUCGGCAAAUCCGGGUUGUUUUCCUCCGUGUUGUCGCAGCCAUCCUCACCUUCCUCUCUUCUUCUCAGAGCAGCCUCGCCCACUGCUUGCCACCUCCUUCUCUUCUUCCACUGCCGCCUUUUCUCCAGCCUUCCCUGUUCAGAAGAAUGAAGUCAUGAAACAUUAAAGAAGAAGGGACGUUAAACCAAGACCACCUCACCUAACUGUGACCCUUUACACGUGAGCAAAGUGCAUCCAGAGACAGGAGGUGACAGCGAUGGCCAGGCGGCUGACUUCUGACAGGUUCGAGCGGAGUACCAGGACUCCUGGGGCCACGCGAUGUUCUAUCUGUUGCUCUGAACAGCCGCAUCUUCCCGUUUUCCUUUUUCCUCCUUGCCUGCCUUCCUCCCUCCUCCUUCUGACACUAGGAAGGAUGGACAGGCUCCUGAGGGCUUCCUGAACAAGAAAAGCUAUGUGUUGGUGGUGUGAAGAGCUUAUCCGUGGCAAGCACCGCAGGCCAGAAACAGCCAUCAGCAGCCCCUCUGGGCUCUGUGCUCAAACUUGUCCCAGUGGAGACCCACAGCUCCUCUCUCCUCUGGCGUAGAGAGCUGGAGGGGUCAUUCUGACUUGCAAAGUGAAAAUUGGUUGUUUGGUAAUGGCUCAGGCCAGGAGCCACUGAAUCCCAACUGCCAGCUACUGACAUUAUUGCAAAUAGCAACUCCUCUGCCGCAAAUGAAGCUGCUGAUGAAAAAGGCUGGUUUCCAGCGGAGGGCCUCCAACUGAGCGUGAAUUGUGUGCAGGAAUGCACACUGCAGUGGCGGCCCUUUCCUGGUCCUUUCUCUUUCCCGGUUUUUGCCAGGGAGUGUCCCAGAACUCACCCUACCGACCCAGGUCACAAAAAUCCUGGCGUCUGCUGUUCCUUCCCUGCGCGGUGAGCUAUGAUAGAACCCAAGGUGCUGGAAUUAAAGGGAGCUCCAGCACUCACCUCAUGCCCUAUUCUUUUAUUUCACAGACAGUGAAACUGAGACCUAGAUAAGCUAGGGUCCAGCAUUUAGUGACACAGCUCAGAAGCAAGCUAACUUAGGAAGCAGGAAAAGGGUGGAAGGAGGAACUGACAGGUAUUGAACUACUAUGUGCCAGGCUUAACCCUUGUAAUCUCAUUAAAUUUUCAAAGGAGGGGUUUUAUUUUAUUUUAUCUUUUAUGGCUGCACCUGUGGCAUAUGUAGGUUCCCAGGCCAGGGACUGAAUCUGAGCUGCCCGCAGCUACAGCAAUGCCAGAUCUUUAACCCACUGUGCCAGGCCAGGUAUUAAACCUGUGCUUCCGGAGCUGCUCCAGUCGGGUUCUUAACCCACUAUGCCACAGUGGGAACUCCUCAAGGGAGGGCUUUUAAAAAGGAAGAGAGCUGCGGUUCUACAAGAAUGGAGGACUUGAGCAAUGUCAUCCGGGGAAAAGCAGAAGAGCCUGUGGGAGGAGGGCUGUACAGCCUCCCUCCAAAACCUCCACGGAUUCCUUAUUUCUCCACCUGGUGAAACCAGGAAGGUGGCCUCCAGCAGCUCUCCCAGGACUUAGAGGUGGAGGAGAAAGAAAGACCUUCCCAGGGGUGACGUGCCCUCCACCCCAGCCCUGCCCCGCAGCGGCUUCUGCUCUCCUGCUCUGCAUUCUCUCUCCCACCCACUGCCCACUGAGGUGUUUUUACCGCAGGCAUUACAGGGACUCUCAGCACUUCCUGAGUUCCCUGCAGCUGUUCCCACCAGAUCAGUGAUGCCCUUCAACUCCAGGUCACGAUUAUAAACGCCUGGUGGUUGCUUCACCAGAAAGCCGUGUUGCUAAAGAUGGGGAGAGAGUCGCUUGGGUUUAGCAAAAAGGAACCGAGUCCAGCUCCAUCAGGGUGGGUGGGAUCUUUCCUAGAGCCCUUUUCAAAGACACGAGGAUGAGGGCAUUGGUUUUUAAACUGCUGCCUCCACCUUUCCAGCAA
rnacentral:lncRNA from 1 species